ACAAAUCUAAUCUGGUUUACAGUCAGAAAAAUGUCAAGUAGCAAAGAACCAGUUUAAUCCAGUCAAACUGGAGAGCAAACUACUGAGGACACUUCUUUGAUUUCAGACUGUGAUGACGGAGGAAAAACUGAAAUCCAAACUACAGCAGAGGGUAAUUUGGCAUGAGAUUCAACAUGAGGCUGUGUGAUGAACACGAGGAGGAGCAGACAGCAGAGUCUGCAGCCUCCAGCUGCUCCAGGAACACCGAGCGGCUCAACGUGACACGUUUCAGCCGCCAACACCUGCCUGCAGAUGAUGACGAACAGAUCAGCAGAGCAGAGUUUCCAACAGCCGUCUAUCUGCUGAUGAAACAGAAUCAGUCCCAACAGCUGAUUGAUUUCAACUUCAACCUGGAAGCUUCAGUGGCAAAAAUUGUGUGUGUGAGGACGAGCAGUAAGGGAUUUCCUCCAUCUUUCUAGACUGCCUGAACAUUACAGUUAUGAUGCUGUCAAGAAAAAUGAAUGCUUGGAGAGUGGCCACUUGAUGGGAAACCUCAGAUUCAUGAAUCCAGUCGAGAUGUGAGAAAUCUCUCCAACAAGCUGGACAUCAGCCCUUUCUGUCAGGUGCUGGAUGUGAAUCAUCUGUCUUCAUGUGAUAAAGGUCGUUCUGACUCAGCAGGAUUGAGCUGCUCAUUUCAUGAUGUGGUGGAGCGGGUCACCAGACCUACAGCUGGAAACAAAAAUCCAAACUGAGCUUUUGCAGUUAAGUUGUAAUCAUGUCUGAAUUCCUGCACAUUUUAUUUCAGUUUUCAUUUAUAUAAUUUUUUGAGUGUAUUGCUUUAGUGCCAGUCAUGACAUUAAAAACAAGGACAAAGCCAGGAAGAAGAUUUCCUGUUGGUCAGUUAAAGGUCCAUUGUGUAGGAUCAACCCGAUCUCACUCCAAAGUUGUGGUGAACUUUGAGACAUUUUGAGGUACGUCCUCACCAUGUUUCUUUUCCUAAACCUAACCACAGUAACUUUACAUUCAUUACCUAACUGCAGUUAAGGACAUACGAACCGUUCUAUGAGAAUGUGUCAUUUGGGGGGGUGACUUCUGGAGUCGGACACCAACAAAAAAAGCUAUCUUUUCAUAUCAGCGUGAUAUGCAGGUGGUCACCGUUAUUGUUUAAUGGCACCCAGCGGCAUCAGGGGGAAAUGUAACAUGUGUUUAUUGUUGAACAUGUCCUGUUAAAAUGGAAGUGUAAUUUGAAAACAGAUAAUGCAUGUAACAGGCUGAAGUUAACACGGCGUCCCAGAACAUCAACAAGUAACGCACACUGGGUACCUUGCACGUCAUAUCUCGAUAUGGAAAGUUCAUGACAAAAUAUUGAUAUAAACAAUAAACACUAAAGGAAUUCUAACCAGGAGAAAUUUCAGCUGGUUGCAACCUGCAGUCCUCACUGCUCGAUGCCACUCAAUCUCCCUAAAUCUGACACACUGGAUCUUUAACUGUAGAGAAUAUUAUGGUUUUGGUUUAUUACAGAACAAGUCUGCAGUUCUUCGACACACAACUUGUAUAUUUAACCAAAGUCAUAAUCUUUCCUAACAUUAACCAAAGUGCUUUUGUUGCCUAAAUCUAAGACUCAAAAUCUAAAUGUAACAAUAUAAAGAACAUGAAAACUUAAUUUCAAGGAAAAAGGGUAAAUUUUUUCAGACUCCUUUAAAGAAUUAUUUUAUUUUGUAAUAUAUUGUUAUCGAAGUGUGUCACCUGUGACAGAUAAACUAUUGUAGCUGGCUUCACGCUCUAUUGUGUGAUGUUAUUAAUCGUUCAUCUGUUUUUCUGUUAACCAGUUCUCUGAGGUAUGACCAAUAGAGGACUCAGAUUUUGUCAUUUUGUUUCUUCAUACACACAAGUGAUUUUAUUUGUUAAAAAUAAGCUAUAAAAUCACAACACCCUCAGAGUAUUCUUUUAUAUCUACAGAUUAAAUUAUACUUUUAUACAGACUUCCAACUAAAGAAUUAUCAUUUAUUUGUUUAUAUUAUUAUUACAAUAAAAAGAAGGCUGCAUUGUCCAGCCCCAGUCAUCAAAAUCUCAUUUAUCUGCAUUGAAAACCUAAAUUUUCCAUUUUAAUCUUGUGUGAUCACUGAACAGAUUCUGUUUAAAGGCUGCAUAUUGUCAAAUACAUUUUUUUAUAUAUAUAUUUUUGAACUAGCCUACAGAUGAAAUAACAGUGAACAUUACAGUGUUUUUUUCUCAUAUUGUUUGUUUUCUAAUACUUUAUUUUUGUUUAUAAUAGGUGUGUCUACAAGCUGUCAUACAUCUGGAUGUACAUAUUGUUUAUGAGCCAGCCUCUGUAUUCUUUUAGGAACGAUGGGAAAUUUUAAAAAUCAGUCUUGCAGGCUAAAUUUGGGCCUUAUUGGGAGAUUAGAACUACUGAGGUCAUGAUGCGUGCUUGUGUAACACGUGGAAGUCAUCAGUGCCGUUGUUUUUUCUAUUCAAAAAGAAGCUAAAAAAAAAAACCUGACAAAACAAUAUUUACCUAAAUGUUCCUGAAAACAAAAAUCCAUACAGUAUAGGCUUUACAAUGUCAAAUAAAUAUAACAAGUUUUUUUGUUGUCGUUGUUUUUUCAAAUCGAUGUUUCACUGGUGGUGGUCCCAGUAGGAUUGAAACUGUAGCUGUGCAUCACAACAUUGUUUUAAGUGUGUUUAUCUGUUUCAUAAAGUUUCUGCUCUCUGCUGUGAAGCAAUAAAGUUUUUAAAAAUCUGAAC